UACGUAGGGUGCAAGCGUUGUCCGGAAUUAUUGGGCGUAAAGAGCUCGUAGGCGGUCUGUUGCGUCGGCUGUGAAAACCCGGGGCUCAACUCCGGGCCUGCAGCCGAUACGGGCAGACUAGAGUUCGGCAGGGGAGACUGGAAUUUACGGUGUAGCGGUGAAAUGCGUAGAUAUCGUAAGGAAGACCAGUGGCGAAGGCGGGUCUCUGGACAGUUCCUGACGCUGAGGCACGAAGGUCAGGGGAGCAAACGGG
rnacentral:rRNA from 1 species